rnacentral:rRNA from 1 species
CCUACUGGAGACAUCAUUGAGGCAUCUUGGUCAAUGGGCGCGAGCCUGAACCAGCCAAGUCGCGUGAGGUCUUCCUUCCCUCCUUUUUUUCCCCCUCUUUUUCCUUUUAUCAACGGGCGUCACGUGUGGCGCCACUGAGAGUACCCGGAGAAAAAGCAUCGGCUAACUCCGUGCCAGCAGCCGCGGUAAUACGGAGGAUGCGAGCGUUAUCCGGAUUUAUUGGGUUUAAAGGGUGCGUAGGCGGAUCGUUAAGUCAGUGGUCAAAUUGAGGGGCUCAACCCCUUCCCGCCAUUGAAACUGGCGCUCUUGAGUGGAAGAGAAGUAUGCGGAAUGCGUGGUGUAGCGGUGAAAUGCAUAGAUAUCACGCAGAACCCCGAUUGCGAAGGCAGCAUGCCGGCUUCCGACUGACGCUGAAGCACGAAAGCGUGGGGAUCGAACAGGAUUAGAUACCCUAGUAGUC